CACUGUGUCUGCUGGAACAAUGACAUACUCUUUGCUCCUUCCCCCUCGAUUAUACUUAAUUAGCUAUCUGAAAAUGUUUGUAGAUCAACGCUUGAAUUCUGGCCCUCUGUUAUCUCACAUUUUGUCCAUAUCCAAUCAACCACUCUCCUUUUCAUAUAUGCAUGUCAUCAUCAAAAGUUUACAGUUCGUUGUAGUAAAGGAUCUUACUGCAUGGCCUGGCAAUUGAAGCUUUAAAUAAAUUAUGUUUGUCGUUUGUAGGAAUUUUGCUGGCAUAAUUUUGCAUACCUACCUUCUUCAACUUAUUUGGGGAAGUUGUGAGGAAUGAAAUUACAGCCUAGCUGAAAAAGAAAGCUACUCAAGUAAAAAAAGCCAAGGCCAUGGAGUAAGAAGGAAGCUAGAGACCAGAAUGAUCACAUACCGUGCAA